CUGGUGGCGAGUGGCGAACGGGUGAGUAAUACAUCGGAACGUGUCCUAGAGUGGGGGAUAGCCCGGCGAAAGCCGGAUUAAUACCGCAUACGCUCGAGAGAGGAAAGCGGGGGAUCUUCGGACCUCGCGCUCAAGGGGCGGCCGAUGGCGGAUUAGCUAGUUGGUGGGGUAAAGGCCUACCAAGGCGACGAUCCGUCGCUGGUCUGAGAGGACGACCAGCCCGACUGGGAACUGAGACACGGCCCAUACUCCUACGGGAGGCAGCAGUGGGGAAUUUUGGACAAUGGGGGCAACCCUGAUCCAGCAAUGCCGCGUGUGUGAAGAAGGCCUUCGGGUUGUAAAGCACUUUUGUCCGGAAAGAAMUCCUCUGGGUUAAUACCUCGGGGGGAUGACGGUACCGGAAGAAUAAGCACCGGCUAACUACGUGCCAGCAGCCGCGGUAAUACGUAGGGUGCGAGCGUUAAUCCGGAAUUCACUGGGCGUAAAGCGUGCGCAGGCGGACUUCGCUAAGACCGAUGGUGAAAUCCCCCGGGCUUAACCUGGGAACUGCCAUUGGAUGACUGGCGAGUCUAGAGUGUUGUGCAGAGGUUAGCGGAGUAGAAUUCCACGUGUACGCAGUGAAAUGCGUAGAGAUGUCGGAGGAAUACCGAUGGCGAAGGCAGCCCCCUGGGCUACACACCGAUGACGCUCAUGCGACGAAAGCGUGGGGAGGCCAAACAGGAUUAGAUACCCUGGUAGUCCCACGCCCUAAACGAUGUCAACUAGUUGUUGGGGAUUCAUUUCCUUAGUAACGUAGCUAACGCGUGAAGUUGACCGCCUGGGGAGUACGGUCGCAAGAUUAAAACUCAAAGGAAUUGACGGGGACCCGCACCAAGCGGUGGAUGAUGUGGAUUAAUUCGAUGCAACGCCGAAAGAGAACCGUCGCACAGGUGCUGCAUGGCUGUCGUCAGCUCGUGUCGUGAGAUGUUGGGUUAAGUUCCCGCAACGAGCGCAACCCUUGUCUUCUAGUUGCUACGAAAGGGCACUCUAGAGAGACUGCCGGUGACAAACCGGAGGAAGGUGGGGAUGACGUCCAAGUCCUCCAUGGCCCUUAUGGGUAGGGCUUCACACGUCAUACAAUGGUCGGAACAGAGGGUUGCCAACCCGCGAGGGGGAAGCUAAUCCCAGAAAACCGAUCGUAGUCCGGAUUGCACUCUGCAACUCGAGUGCAUGAAGCUGGGAAUCGCUAGUAAUCGCGGAUCAGCAUGCCGCGCGGUGAAUACGUUCCCGGGUCUUGUACACACCGCCCGUCACACCAUGGGAAGUGGGUUUUUACCAGAAGUGGCUAGUCUAACCGCAAGGAGGGACGGUCACCACGGUAGGAUUCAUGACUGGGGUGAAGUCGUAACAAUUUGGUAAGCCCGUAUCGGAAGGUGCGGCUGG
rnacentral:rRNA from 1 species